AGAGUUUGAUCCUGGCUCAGAACGAACGCUGGCGGCGUGCUUAACACAUGCAAGUCGAGUGCGCGUCCGUAGCAAUACGGAUGGCGCACGGCGCACGGGUGCGUAACACGUGGGCAAUCUGCCCUUCGAUGGGGAAUAACUCCGGGAAACCGAAGCUAAUUCCGCAUAACAUUCCUUGGACCUCGGUUCGAGGACUCAAAGCCGUAAGUCGUCGGAGGAGGAGCCCGCGCACGAUUAGCUAGUUGGUAGGGUAAUGGCCUACCAAGGCUUUGAUCGUUAGCUGGUCUGAGAGGAUGGCCAGCCACACUGGAACUGAGACACGGUCCAGACUCCUACGGGAGGCAGCAGUGGGGAAUCUUGCACAAUGGGCGAAAGCCUGAUGCAGCGACGCCGCGUGGGGGAUGAAGCAUUUCGGUGUGUAAACCCCUUUCGAUCCGGACGAAUGCCUCGCAAGAGGAGUGACGGUACGGAUAUAAGAAGCCCCGGCUAACUACGUGCCAGCAGCCGCGGUAAGACGUAGGGGGCCAGCGUUGUUCGGAAUUACUGGGUGUAAAGGGUUCGUAGGCGGUGUGGCAAGUUGGGUGUGAAAUCUCUGGGCUCAACCCAGAGACUGCUUCCAAAACUGCUGUGCUUGAGUGUGAGAGAGGCUCGUGGAAUUGCAGGUGUAGCGGUGAAAUGCGUAGAUAUCUGCAGGAACACCCGUGGCGAAAGCGGCGAGCUGGAUCACUACUGACGCUGAGGAACGAAAGCUAGGGGAGCAAACAGGAUUAGAUACCCUAGUAGUCC
rnacentral:rRNA from 1 species